CUUGACGACCAUAGAACAUUGGAACGACCUGAUCCCAUCCCGAACUCAGAAGUGAAACGAUGUAUCGCCGAUGGUAGUGUGGGGUUUCCCCAUGUGAGAGUAGGUCAUCGUCAAGA
rnacentral:rRNA from 2 species